rnacentral:rRNA from 1 species
GACGAACGCUGGCGGCGUGCUUAACACAUGCAAGUCGAACAGAAAGGCCCUGCUUUUGUGGGGUGCUCGAGUGGCGAACGGGUGAGUAACACGUGAGUAACCUGCCCUUGACUUUGGGAUAACUUCAGGAAACUGGGGCUAAUACCGGAUAGGAGCUCCUGCUGCAUGGUGGGGGUUGGAAAGUUUCGGCGGUUGGGGAUGGACUCGCGGCUUAUCAGCUUGUUGGUGGGGUAGUGGCUUACCAAGGCUUUGACGGGUAGCCGGCCUGAGAGGGUGACCGGCCACAUUGGGACUGAGAUACGGCCCAGACUCCUACGGGAGGCAGCAGUGGGGAAUAUUGCACAAUGGGCGGAAGCCUGGUGCAGCAACGCCGCGUGCGGGAUGACGGCCUUCGGGUUGUAAACCGCUUUCGCCUGUGACGAAGCGUGAGUGACGGUAAUGGGUAAAGAAGCACCGGCUAACUACGUG